UAUUGAAUAGAGUUUAUUCUCUUCUUCUCUUUCUUCUGUUCUUCAUCUCUUUCUCCCUGUCGAAUUCAAUUCCAAAGUUCUAGAUGAAUCGAGCUUUUUUUGUGUGAGUGAUUCAUGUAAAUAUUGAGAUCUAGAUAAAUCUAAGAAGAGGCUGAUGAAUCUGGAAGCUAAUUUAGAAUAAAUAGAAAUUAGGGUUUCCUCCUGCCAUACUUUUUUUCUUCUUCUGCAACAAACUCCUACCAUACUUUUCUUCUCCGACAAACCAUGGUUUUUCCUCAUCAAUCAGUUGAGUUGUUGUCGUCAAUUUGAAAAAUGGGUCUCGAGAUUUCAUAGAAAAAAAGGGUUUUGUGAGAUUCGAUUAGGAUUGAUUCUCUGUGGGAUUUGUUCUCAACAACAAAAGGUGGACGAUAAACCCUCAUCUUUUGCGAACCUAAUUUUCUCCAGCGAUCUCCACUACCUCAUUUCUUCUCCUAAUCAGAUGCCUACAAACAUGGAAAGAAGGAGCUGAAGUUGAGUUUUGAUGUUGAAAUCUUGGCCUUUAUCGAGGAAACUGGAAAUCUCGCGUAAGCCAUUAGAGCAGGUACAACUGAUUGAGCCUGUAGAUGGCAGGUAACUUCCUUAGGUCCAUCUCACCUUUUUGUAUUGAAUUUGUGAAUUUGAUUUUCUGGGUAGUAUGGAGGUGCUUUAUCAGGUGGAUGAGUUACGAGUAGAUUGGUUAUCUACCGGAGGCAAAAUUGUGCAUCGCGAAGCCAACCAACACAAGGAAUAUCUGUUGCUACAUACAUGAAGUUGUGGAGAUGCUGCGACGUGCAAAUCAAUCUAUGAAUAUUAAUGUUGUUCUAGCAUACCCGUUGUUGAUGUUGCGCGAAUGGAGCUGAUGCAACCUACUGAUGUGACGUGCCCGUUGCUUCUGCAUACAUGUUGUUGUUGCUACGUACUGCUCCCACUGCUUUGUACCUGCAUACCUGCUGAUGUAGCUGCUCCGUACGUGCUGUUGUUGCUGCUGGGCGCAUAAAGCUGCAUGCGUACCUGAUGUGCUGCGAACAAGGUGCUACUGCCCCAGUACCUUCCUGCAGUGUAACUGUCAGUUUUCCUUCGAACAAGGUGCUCCUGCUGCGAAACUGUUGUUGGUGCGAACAAGCUUAUGUACCUGCUGCCGAGCAAACAAGGCAUUGUUGUUGCUGCUGUUCCGCGUACCACUGAUGCUACCUUUUGAUGUGGUGUUCCUGAUGGAAAUUAGGGUUCCAUUUAUUAUUCUUCUUGACCACCCAAAAUAUUUCACCCUUUCUCUUUGCUCUUUUGAUUUAUUUGUUUUCUUCGUUGUAUGAUUACGUUAACAAUAUGGGUUCUGUGCACAAAAGCCUCAAUUUCUUAACAAUACAAUUCGUAUUGCGAGAAUCUUAUUGUAUUGAAUUAUCUAUUCAUUUCUUAGUGGACGACUUCUCAUCUGGUCAAGGAGAA